GCUACGGUUGGUGGAUCCGGGCCGCUGGGUUUUGUCAGACCUUUGUCCCAACCCAGUGGGUUUGAGCUGGACGGAGAGGACUACGGAAGUGAGAUCCAGACACCGUCGAUUCUUCAAGCCCCUUUAUCACAGCCCAUUUCAGCAAAUGUUUAUACACAUUUAUAGAAGCCUUUUUUUUUUUUUGAAGUAGAUCUACAAUGUUGUGGAUCCAUGUUGUGAGGACACUCAGGCAGCCCUGGGGAGAGGCUUGCAUGAAUAAUAACCAAGCCUCUUGCCAACAACCACCUCCAACUUGCCAGCCAUGUGUGUGAGCCAUCUUGGGAGUGGAUCCUCCAGCCUCAGUCAAACCUUCAGGCAUGGCACUUAACUGGCCUGGAAGUCAGUUACCAUGUAAGAAGUGCGACCAGCCUGAGACCACUGAGCUGGGAGGAGCCCAAGCCACGUGGGGAGGAAGGGAAUCAGAGGAGCAUCAGAUACCAGACCCGGGAGUGAAGAAGCCAUCUUGGAGAGGUGGAAAGAUGGACAGCACCUAGCACACUGCCUGGUACAUGUAGGCUCAAAUGAAUGUUUGUUGAGUGACUAACUGGGACCAGGAGAUGGAGCCUUUCUGAAGAGUACUAGAAGACAACAUGGAAUUCACAGAAUAGGGGAAAAGCUGGUAUUUGUCACUUCGGCUGCCCGAAAUCUGAACCCCCAUUUGUGGGAAUCCCAAGAGGUAGGAAGAGGCAGAUGGAUGGGAUGCACACACCCUCUCCUCAGUCCCUGCUGGAGCAAAGAUGCUGAACUUAACCACGACCCAUCAGAAGCCCCCACCCCAGGCAGCAAUGCCAGCUGCAAGGGUCAGCCAGAGACUGUGGUUCAGCUCCAGGGAGAAACCAGGAAUGCUGAGCAUGGUACAUCCUGAUGAAUCCAGAAUGCAGGACCAAAACGAGGGGCCGCUUUCCUCCAAAUGGUGAGGACAUCUUCUACAUGCCAGAAAGGCCAGCAAUACAUUCAUUUCAGAACCAGCAGAGCCCAAACAACAGUGGAGGCUCACCGCAUUCUGGACUCUUUUUCUGGGCCUCCAGGAGCCUUCCAGCAGAUAACCGACUUUGAUAGUUCAAGGCCUGUCCUCUUGCUUUCUACAAGGUGUGAACUAAGGGCUGGAUUCCACACUUGGGUGUCUAUAAACCCAUGGUACCCAGGUCCUAUUCCUGUGCUGUAGGAUCUUCCAGGAGCAGGUCUGCUACAAAGGAGGUGCGGUUCACAUUUCAAUGCUGGGCUCGUUAAAGAGGUCAUCAAACAGAAUUUCCAUCAGAAGGUAGAUUACACGUCAACACCACAGAGGGUUUGCCCUUCCCAGGAAAAUCCAAAUGCUAUAACUUGUUCUUGAGACCCAAGGUUUCCCACAGUUUUGAAAUCUGAAAAGCUUUAUCCAGCAGACAUCCAUUAAGUGCCAACUGUAUGUCAGGGAAACACUGGAGACAGAUCUUGGGCUCUGGUGGGAGAGACAGACAUAGACACUAACACAGUAGGAUAUUUUGAGUUCUACAAAGGAAGUGUGUGCAGAAUGACAUAAGAACCCGGGAGAAGCAUCAGACUCUGCCUUUGGCAAUCAAGGAAGGCUUCCCAGAGUAGGUGACAUUCAAUCUAUAGGAGGAGAUUACAGCUGAAGCAAAGGUCCAGGCCGGAGCUCAUACUUCCAAAUCCCCCUGAGGAGUCCACAGUCCAGAACUUCAUCUCCCUGCUUCAGCCAUGGAAGCAGCAAAAGCUUCACAUGCAACCAACAUCUGGAUGGUACUAAUUACCUCCACGUUUAUGAAGUGCCUCAUUAAACUUGACUCAAACCAACAGCAUAGUUGGCUCCCUGGGUUAAAUCCACGCUAAAUAUUCAGUUACACACAGCACAAGCGAAUCAUAUUUGGUGGGGUUCAGUUCACUUGUCCUGUGAAGGUGGUUUUCCAGCUGAAUAAUGAUGCUGCCUUUUAAUUGCGUGCUGUCUUCCUCCUGGGGGACUUUAGGUGGGACCAUCUUCCCAGAGGGAGCCAGAAACUGGGUGUCGUCAUCUCCAUUUUAUAGUUGCAUGGACUCAGUAAAGAGAUCUGGCCCCAGCCGCAUAAACUGCAAUCUUACUCCUCCCUCGGAGCCCAGCUCAAAUUACCUCAUCUUAAAAGGUCUUUUGGUUCCCCCAUCAGAAUUUCCCUGCCAUACAUGACCCUGGAAGAAGCUGAGAGAAACGGCUGAGCGCUCACUGUGUACAGAGCUCUGUGACGGGGAGUUGACAGCAUUCACUCACUUGAUCUAACAACACUGAGGGUGUGUUCCCAUUUCACAGCUGAGGAGGCUCAGGCACAGAGAAGCUGAGUAAUGGGUCUUGGAUUACACAACUAAUUAGUCAGGAUUCAAACCCAGGCCUCUAAGCCCAUUGUCUUAACCACACACAAUCCUGGCACAUUCAUUCAACAAGUAUUAAUUGAGCACCUAUGGUACACCCCGUGCUUGCCAGGAGUAUAGUACUUGCUAGGGAUGCAGUAGGGAAGGAAACAUGAUCUUUGCCCUAACAAAGAUUAUCGUCUAGCAGGGAAGACAGAUGUGAAACACUUCCACAAUCAUUUAAUUACACACCAGGCAUCAGUCAAUGUUAGCAGAAUUUAACUGAACUAGCUAAGACAUCAGCAGGGCAAGAAAAGAAAUCAGGUCUCUGGAUGGCUCUUUCUUGUCUGCAAUUCAGGAGUCAGUCAACUCUUCCUUUUUUCUUAGAUUCUGUAGCUAAGCAAUGCCUACAGAGGCCCACAAUUGCAUUGGGAGUUUCCAGAAACCACUUCCCUCUCUGAAUCACAGCUUUCCCAGCUGGAAAAUGGGGAUGAAAAUAGCAAAAGACUGGCAGUAAGCCAAAUAUCCAUCAACAGGGGGCCACUUAAAGAAGUGGUGGUACAUCUACACCCUGGAAUAUGCAGCUAUUAAAAAGCAUGAGGCAACUCUAAAUGCUGGACAAGGAUCGCUAAGACCUAGACCCCAGGGAGUCGGGUGACUUACUUUUUUUUGUCUUUUUUUUUUUUUGGUCGCACCACAUGUGGGUUCUUAGUUCCCUGACCAGGGAUCGAACCCGUGGCCCCUGCAUUGGAAGCAUGGAGUCUGAACCACUGGACCACCAGGGAAGUCCAACUUACUCUUAAUGUGUGCCAUUUUGUACCUUUAGAAUUUUGCACUCUGUGCAUGUACCUUAUCAAAACAAAUUCAAGGACAUUUUAAUACAACAUUUUGAUGGGGAUAAAAAAGCAGUCAAAUAGCCAGGCUCACGUGGGCCCAUUGGUGGUAUUAUUGUUAGUUUCAAAGGAGAGGUUAGAUUUGGCAGCCCUUGGAAAAUCUAAAACAAUUAGAGCACAUGUUGCUCCUAAUGAGAUGAGGGAGGAAUAAGGGCCAAACGGAGAAGAAAGGAGGAGGAAAUGAGGAGAAAAACGAAGAGGCCAGGCAGAGGCCAACAGAGAAAAAAAUCCACAAUUACUUUAGUGCCGCCGAGACCCCAAGGCAGCUGUGCUACCUGCUUCUUUCUAGCCAGCUGCCAGGUUGCCAUGGUAAUGUAAUAGCCAGUGGUAAGCUUAUUUAUGAUUCUGAAAACAUUAAAAAAAAAAAAACCA